rnacentral:lncRNA from 1 species
UUAAAAAUUAGCCAGGAUAAUAACGAUGGAGCAAGAAUUACCCUUAGAAUAUGGCGGAAGGCGAAGAGCCGGAGAAGAAAAGGAGAGUAGAGGAGCUGCUGGCUGAGAAAAUGGCUGUUGAUGGUGGGUGUGGGGACACUGGAGACUGGGAAGGUCGCUAGAACCAUGUAAAGAAGUUCCUUGAUCCAUCUGGACCCUUCGCACACCCUGAUUUUGAACCAAGCACUGAAUUUGCCUAUGUCACCCAGCAAGAUUACUGUAGUGUCCUCAACCAAGCAGAAAUGAAAAUGCAAAAAGUUGAAGAGGAAAGAGAGAUCCUUAUAGUCAAAGAACAUCAAGACCCUGAUGGAACUGGAAUAAGGAAGGGUCACAUUGUCAUCAAGGUUUCUGUGCUACACUGGAGCUGAAAAAAAAAUCCACGUGGGGAACACUAAGCAUUCUGAAAGCCAGGAAAUGUGAUUGCUGACACAGAAUACUUUCUCCCUUUCAUCUUUGAGUAGGACGACUGUGCAUCGUUGGGCACCAUUUGUCAUUUUCCUGAACUUCACCACCAGAUUCUUGGCAGCAACUACCUUUUCUUCUAUGCAUCAUCAUGUUUUGGGCAGUAGAAAUUCAAAUCCCUUGAUUG